GGGUUGUGAGGUUAAGCGAAUAAGCGUACACGGUGGAUGCCUAGGCAAUCAGAGGCGAUGAAGGACGUGCUAAUCUGCGAAAAGCGUCGGUAAGGUGAUAUGAACCGUUAUACCCGACGAUAUCCGAAUGGGGAAACCCAGUAUCCAAUGGAUACUAUCAUUAACUGAAUCCAUAGGUUAAUGAGGCGAACCGGGAGAACUGAAACAUCUCAGUACCCCGAGGAAAAGAAAUCAACCGAGAUUCCCCUAGUAGCGGCGAGCGAACGGGGAGCAGCCCAGAGUCUUAAUCAAUAGCAGUGUCAGGAGAACGGUCUGGAAAGUCCGGCAGUAAAGGGUGAUAGCCCCGUAUCUGAAGAUGCUGUUAUUGUGAACUCGACGAGUAGGGCGGGACACGUGUUAUCCUGUCUGAAUAUGGGGGGACCAUCCUCCAAGGCUAAAUACUCCUGAUUGACCGAUAGUGAACCAGUACCGUGAGGGAAAGGCGAAAAGAACCCCGGCGAGGGGAGUGAAAAAGAACCUGAAACCGUGUACGUACAAGCAGUAGGAGCCUCUUUAUGGGGUGACUGCGUACCUUUUGUAUAAUGGGUCAGCGACUUAUAUUCUGUAGCAAGGUUAACCGUAUAGGGGAGCCGUAGGGAAACCGAGUCUUAACUGGGCGAAUGAGUUGCAGGGUAUAGACCCGAAACCCGGUGAUCUAUCCAUGGGCAGGUUGAAGGUUGGGUAACACUAACUGGAGGACCGAACCGACUAAUGUUGAAAAAUUAGCGGAUGACUUGUGGAUGGGGGUGAAAGGCCAAUCAAACCGGGAGAUAGCUGGUUCUCCCCGAAAGCUAUUUAGGUAGCGCCUCGUGAACUCAUCUUCGGGGGUAGAGCACUGUUUCGACUAGGGGGUCAUCCCGACUUACCAACUCGAUGCAAACUGCGAAUACCGAAGAAUGUUAUCACGGGAGACACACGGCGGGUGCUAACGUCCGUCGUGAAGAGGGAAACAACCCAGACCGCCAGCUAAGGUCCCAAAGUCAUGGUUAAGUGGGAAACGAAGUGGGAAGGCUCAGACAGCCAGGAUGUUGGCUUAGAAGCAGCCAUCAUUUAAAGAAAGCGUAAUAGCUCACUGGUCGAGUCGGCCCGCGCGGAAGAUGUAACGGGGCUAAACCAUGCACCGAAGCUGCGGCAGCGACACAUAGUGUUGUUGGGUAGGGGAGCGUUCUGUAAGCCUGCGAAGGUGUACUGUGAGGUAUGCUGGAGGUAUCAGAAGUGCGAAUGCUGACAUAAGUAACGAUAAUGCGGGUGAAAAACCCGCACGCCGGAAGACCAAGGGUUCCUGUCCAACGUUAAUCGGGGCAGGGUGAGUCGACCCCUAAGGCGAGGCUGAAAAGCGUAGUCGAUGGGAAACGGGUUAAUAUUCCCGUACUGGUGGUAACUGCGAUGGGGGAACGGAGAAGGCUAGGUUGUCCGGGCGACGGUCGUCCCGGUUCAAGCAGGUAGGCAGAGUGAUUAGGCAAAUCCGGUCACUUAAUGCUGAGAUGUGAUGACGAACCACCAAGGUGGUGAAGCAAUUGAUGCCCCGCUUCCAGGAAAAGCCUCUAAGCUUCAGGUUACCAACAAUCGUACCCCAAACCGACACAGGUGGUCAGGUAGAGAAUACUCAGGCGCUUGAGAGAACUCGGGUGAAGGAACUAGGCAAAAUGGUGCCGUAACUUCGGGAGAAGGCACGCUGGCGGUAGGUAAAGUCCCUCGCGGACGGCGCUGAAGCCAGUCGAAGAUACCAGCUGGCUGCAACUGUUUAUUAAAAACACAGCACUGUGCAAACACGAAAGUGGACGUAUACGGUGUGACGCCUGCCCGGUGCUGGAAGGUUAAUUGAUGGGGUUAGCGCAAGCGAAGCUCCUGAUCGAAGCCCCAGUAAACGGCGGCCGUAACUAUAACGGUCCUAAGGUAGCGAAAUUCCUUGUCGGGUAAGUUCCGACCUGCACGAAUGGCGUAAUGAUGGCCAGGCUGUCUCCACCCGAGACUCAGUGAAAUUGAACUCGCUGUGAAGAUGCAGUGUACCCGCGGCAAGACGGAAAGACCCCGUGAACCUUUACUAUAGCUUGACACUGAACAUUGAGCCUUGAUGUGUAGGAUAGGUGGGAGGCUUUGAAGUGUGGACGCCAGUCUGCAUGGAGCCAACCUUGAAAUACCACCCUUUAACGUUUGAUGUUCUAACCUAGGCCCAUAAACUGGGUCGGGGACCGUGUCUGGUGGGUAGUUUGACUGGGGCGGUCUCCUCCUAAAGAGUAACGGAGGAGCACGAAGGUUGGCUAAGCAUGGUCGGACAUCAUGCGGUUAGUGCAAAGGCAUAAGCCAGCUUGACUGCGAGAGUGACGGCUCGAGCAGGUACGAAAGUAGGUCUUAGUGAUCCGGUGGUUCUGAAUGGAAGGGCCAUCGCUCAACGGAUAAAAGGUACUCCGGGGAUAACAGGCUGAUACCGCCCAAGAGUUCAUAUCGACGGCGGUGUUUGGCACCUCGAUGUCGGCUCAUCACAUCCUGGGGCUGAAGUAGGUCCCAAGGGUAUGGCUGUUCGCCAUUUAAAGUGGUACGCGAGCUGGGUUUAGAACGUCGUGAGACAGUUCGGUCCCUAUCUGCCGUGGGCGUUGGAAGAUUGAGAGGGGUUGCUCCUAGUACGAGAGGACCGGAGUGAACGCACCACUGGUGUUCGGGUUGUCAUGCCAAUGGCAUUGCCCGGUAGCUAAGUGCGGAAGAGAUAACCGCUGAAAGCAUCUAAGCGGGAAACUUGCCUCGAGAUGAGUCUUCCCUGUCGCUUUAAGCGACCUAAAGGAACGUUUAAGACUAAGACGUUGAUAGGCUGGGUGUGUAAGCGUAGCGAUACGUUGAGCUAACCAGUACUAAUGAACCGUGAGGCUUAACCUGACAACACCGAAAGUGUUUUG
rnacentral:rRNA from 1 species